UACAGAGGGUGCGAGCGUUAAUCGGAAUUAUUGGGCGUAAAGGGAGCGUAGGCGGAUUGACAAGUGGUAGGUAAAAUACCUGGGCUUAACCUGGGGGGCGUCCUAUCAGACUGUCAGUCUAGAAUGUGGUAGAGGAAGGCGAAUUCCUGGUGUAGCGGUGAAAUGCGUAGAUAUCAGGAAGAACAUCAAUGGCGAAGGCAGCCUUCUGGGCCAUAAUUGACGCUGGGGGCUCGAAAGCGUGGGGAGCGAACGAGG
rnacentral:rRNA from 1 species